GACGAACGCUGGCGGCGUGCUUAACACAUGCAAGUCGAACGGAAAGGCCCUGCUUGCAGGGUACUCGAGUGGCGAACGGGUGAGUAACACGUGGGUGAUCUGCCCUGCACUUCGGGAUAAGCUUGGGAAACUGGGUCUAAUACCGGAUAGGACCGCACUUUAGUGUGUGUGGUGGAAAGUUUUUUCGGUGUAGGAUGAGCUCGCGGCCUAUCAGCUUGUUGGUGGGGUAAUGGCCUACCAAGGCGGCGACGGGUAGCCGGCCUGAGAGGGUGUACGGCCACAUUGGGACUGAGAUACGGCCCAGACUCCUACGGGAGGCAGCAGUGGGGAAUAUUGCACAAUGGGCGCAAGCCUGAUGCAGCGACGCCGCGUGGAGGAUGAAGGCCUUCGGGUUGUAAACUCCUUUCGCUAGGGACGAAGCUUUUUGUGACGGUACCUAGAUAAGAAGCACCGGCUAACUACGUG
rnacentral:rRNA from 1 species